rnacentral:rRNA from 1 species
GAGAGUGGAAAGUUCACACUGUGACGGUACCUUACCAGAAAGGGACGGCUAACUACGUGCCAGCAGCCGCGGUAAUACGUAGGUCCCGAGCGUUGUCCGGAUUUAUUGGGCGUAAAGCGAGCGCAGGCGGUUAGAUAAGUCUGAAGUUAAAGGCUGUGGCUUAACCAUAGUAGGCUUUGGAAACUGUUUAACUUGAGUGCAAGAGGGGAGAGUGGAAUUCCAUGUGUAGCGG